GGCAGCCGCGGUAAUUCCAGCUCCAAUAGCGUAUAUUAAAGUUGUUGCAGUUAAAAAGCUCGUAGUUGAAUUUCGGGGUUAGUACGCUGGUCGUGCCUUCGGUAUGUACUGGUGUUACUGAUUCCUACCUUCUGAAGAACCGUCAUGUCAUUAAUUUGGUGUGGCGGGGAAUCAGGACUGUUACUUUGAAAAAAUUAGAGUGUUUAAAGCAGGCUCGCGCUUGAAUACAUUAGCAUGGAAUAAUGAAAUAGGACGUUUGAUCCUAUUUUGUUGGUUUCUAGGAUUGACGUAAUGAUUAAUAGGGAUAGUUGGGGGCAUUAGUAUUCAAUUGUCAGAGGUGAAAUUCUUGGAUUUAUUGAAGACUAACUACUGCGAAA
rnacentral:rRNA from 1 species